UACAGAGGGGGCAAGCGUUGUUCGGAAUUACUGGGCGUAAAGGGCGCGUAGGCGGCCUGACAAGUGGAUGGUGAAAUCCCUCGGCUUAACCGAGGAACUGCCAUCCAGACUGUUUGGCUUGAGACCGGGAGAGGUGAGUGGAAUUCCCAGUGUAGCGGUGAAAUGCGUAGAUAUUGGGAGGAACACCAGUGGCGAAGGCGGCUCACUGGACCGGUACUGACGCUGAUGCGCGAAAGCGUGGGGAGCAAACGGG
rnacentral:rRNA from 1 species